rnacentral:rRNA from 1 species
UACGUAGGGUGCGAGCGUUUGUCCGGAAUUAUUGGGCGUAAAGGGCUCGUAGGCGGUCUGUCACGUCGGGAGUGAAAACUCAGGGCUUAACCCUGAGCCUGCUUCCGAUACGGGCUGACUAGAGGUAUGCAGGGGAGAACGGAAUUCCUGGUGUAGCGGUGAAAUGCGCAGAUAUCAGGAGGAACACCGGUGGCGAAGGCGGUUCUCUGGGCAUUACCUGACGCUGAGGAGCGAAAGUGUGGGGAGCGAACAGG